rnacentral:rRNA from 1 species
UACGUAGGGGCAAGCGUUGUCCGGAUUUAUUGGGCGUAAAGAGCGUGUAGGCGGCCAUACAGGUCCGUUGUGAAAACUCGAGGCUUAACCUCGAGACGUCGAUGGAAACCGUAUGGCUAGAGUCCGGAAGAGGAGAGUGGAAUUCCUGGUGUAGCGGUGAAAUGCAUAGAUACCACCCAGAACUCCGAUUGCGAAGGCAGCCUACUGGAGGUUCACCGACGCUCAGGCACGAAAGCGUGGGAUCAAACAGG